UGGGGAAUUUUGGACAAUGGGCGAAAGCCUGAUCCAGCAAUGCCGCGUGUGUGAAGAAGGCCUUCGGGUUGUAAAGCACUUUUGUCCGGAAAGAAAUCCUUGGCUCUAAUACAGUCGGGGGAUGACGGUACCGGAAGAAUAAGCACCGGCUAACUACGUGCCAGCAGCCGCGGUAAUACGUAGGGUGCAAGCGUUAAUCGGAAUUACUGGGCGUAAAGCGUGCGCAGGCGGUUUGCUAAGACCGAUGUGAAAUCCCCGGGCUCAACCUGGGAACUGCAUUGGUGACUGGCAGGCUAGAGUAUGGCAGAGGGGGGUAGAAUUCCACGUGUAGCAGUGAAAUGCGUAGAGAUGUGGAGGAAUACCGAUGGCGAAGGCAGCCCCCUGGGCCAAUACUGACGCUCAUGCACGAAAGCGUGGGGAGCAAACAGGAUUAGAUACCCUGGUAGUCCACGCCCUAAAACGAUGUCAACUAGUUGCUGGGGAUUCAUUUCCUUAGUAACGUAGCUAACGCGUGAAGUUGACCGCCUGGGGAGUACGGUCGCAAGAUUAAAACUUAAAUGAAUUGACGGGGUCAUAGCUGUUUCCU
rnacentral:rRNA from 1 species